UGUGAGCUCGAUGAGUAGGGCGGGACACGUGGUAUCCUGUCUGAAUAUGGGGGGACCAUCCUCCAAGGCUAAAUACUCCUGACUGACCGAUAGUGAACCAGUACCGUGAGGGAAAGGCGAAAAGAACCCCGGCGAGGGGAGUGAAAAAGAACCUGAAACCGUGUACGUACAAGCAGUGGGAGCCUCUUUUAUGGGGUGACUGCGUACCUUUUGUAUAAUGGGUCAGCGACUUAUAUUCUGUAGCAAGGUUAACCGAAUAGGGGAGCCGAAGGGAAACCGAGUCUUAACUGGGCGUUAAGUUGCAGGGUAUAGACCCGAAACCCGGUGAUCUAGCCAUGGGCAGGUUGAAGGUUGGGUAACACUAACUGGAGGACCGAACCGACUAAUGUUGAAAAAUUAGCGGAUGACUUGUGGCUGGGGGUGAAAGGCCAAUCAAACCGGGAGAUAGCUGGUUCUCCCCGAAAGCUAUUUAGGUAGCGCCUCGUGAAUUCAUCUCCGGGGGUAGAGCACUGUUUCGGCAAGGGGGUCAUCCCGACUUACCAACCCGAUGCAAACUGCGAAUACCGGAGAAUGUUAUCACGGGAGACACACGGCGGGUGCUAACGUCCGUCGUGAAGAGGGAAACAACCCAGACCGCCAGCUAAGGUCCCAAAGUCAUGGUUAAGUGGGAAACGAUGUGGGAAGGCCCAGACAGCCAGGAUGUUGGCUUAGAAGCAGCCAUCAUUUAAAGAAAGCGUAAUAGCUCACUGGUCGAGUCGGCCUGCGCGGAAGAUGUAACGGGGCUAAACCAUGCACCGAAGCUGCGGCAGCGACACUAUGUGUUGUUGGGUAGGGGAGCGUUCUGUAAGCCUGUGAAGGUGUACUGUGAGGUAUGCUGGAGGUAUCAGAAGUGCGAAUGCUGACAUAAGUAACGAUAAAGCGGGUGAAAAGCCCGCUCGCCGGAAGACCAAGGGUUCCUGUCCAACGUUAAUCGGGGCAGGGUGAGUCGACCCCUAAGGCGAGGCCGAAAGGCGUAGUCGAUGGGAAACAGGUUAAUAUUCCUGUACUUGGUGUUACUGCGAAGGGGGGACGGAGAAGGCUAUGUUGGCCGGGCGACGGUUGUCCCGGUUUAAGCGUGUAGGCUGGUUUUCCAGGCAAAUCCGGAAAAUCAAGGCUGAGGCGUGAUGACGAGGCACUACGGUGCUGAAGCAACAAAUGCCCUGCUUCCAGGAAAAGCCUCUAAGCAUCAGGUAACAUCAAAUCGUACCCCAAACCGACACAGGUGGUCAGGUAGAGAAUACCAAGGCGCUUGAGAGAACUCGGGUGAAGGAACUAGGCAAAAUGGUGCCGUAACUUCGGGAGAAGGCACGCUGAUAUGUAGGUGAAGCGACUUGCUCGUGGAGCUGAAAUCAGUCGAAGAUACCAGCUGGCUGCAACUGUUUAUUAAAAACACAGCACUGUGCAAACACGAAAGUGGACGUAUACGGUGUGACGCCUGCCCGGUGCCGGAAGGUUAAUUGAUGGGGUCAGCGCAAGCGAAGCUCUUGAUCGAAGCCCCGGUAAACGGCGGCCGUAACUAUAACGGUCCUAAGGUAGCGAAAUUCCUUGUCGGGUAAGUUCCGACCUGCACGAAUGGCGUAAUGAUGGCCAGGCUGUCUCCACCCGAGACUCAGUGAAAUUGAACUCGCUGUGAAGAUGCAGUGUACCCGCGGCAAGACGGAAAGACCCCGUGAACCUUUACUAUAGCUUGACACUGAACAUUGAGCCUUGAUGUGUAGGAUAGGUGGGAGGCUUAGAAGUGUGGACGCCAGUCUGCAUGGAGCCGACCUUGAAAUACCACCCUUUAAUGUUUGAUGUUCUAACGUAGACCCGUGAUCCGGGUUGCGGACAGUGUCUGGUGGGUAGUUUGACUGGGGCGGUCUCCUCCUAAAGAGUAACGGAGGAGCACGAAGGUUGGCUAAUCCUGGUCGGACAUCAGGAGGUUAGUGCAAUGGCAUAAGCCAGCUUGACUGCGAGCGUGACGGCGCGAGCAGGUGCGAAAGCAGGUCAUAGUGAUCCGGUGGUUCUGAAUGGAAGGGCCAUCGCUCAACGGAUAAAAGGUACUCCGGGGAUAACAGGCUGAUACCGCCCAAGAGUUCAUAUCGACGGCGGUGUUUGGCACCUCGAUGUCGGCUCAUCACAUCCUGGGGCUGAAGUAGGUCCCAAGGGUAUGGCUGUUCGCCAUUUAAAGUGGUACGCGAGCUGGGUUUAGAACGUCGUGAGACAGUUCGGUCCCUAUCUGCCGUGGGCGCUGGAGAACUGAGGGGGGCUGCUCCUAGUACGAGAGGACCGGAGUGGACGCAUCACUGGUGUUCGGGUUGUCAUGCCAAUGGCACUGCCCGGUAGCUAAAUGCGGAAGAGAUAAGUGCUGAAAGCAUCUAAGCACGAAACUUGCCCCGAGAUGAGUUCUCCCUGACCCUUUAAGGGUCCUGAAGGAACGUUGAAGACGACGACGUUGAUAGGCCGGGUGUGUAAGCGCAGCGAUGCGUUGAGCUAACCGGUACUAAUGAACCGUGAGGCUUAACCUU
rnacentral:rRNA from 1 species